rnacentral:rRNA from 1 species
CUAGCAACACCGCGUGUGCGAUGAAGGCCUUCGGGUUGUAAAGCACUUUUUGGAGGGAAUAGGAAGGAAGGUACCUCCAGAAUAAGUCUCGGCUAACUACGUGCCAGCAGCCGCGGUAACACGUAGGAGGCAAACGUUAUCCGGAUUCACUGGGCGUAAAGCGCGUGUAGGUGGUUCUGUAAGUAGGGCGUGAAAGCUCCCGGCUCAACUGGGAGAGGCCGUACUAAACUGCAGAGCUAGAGGAUGGUAGAGGGAGGUGGAAUUCCAGGUGUAGUGGUGAAAUGCGCAGAUAUCUGGAGGAACACCAGUGGCGAAGGCGGCCUCCUGGACCAUUCCUGACACUCAGACGCGAAAGCUAGGGUAGCAAACGGAAUGAGCGACUCCGGUAGUCCUAGCCCUAAACGAUGCAGACUAGGCGUCGGCGGUUUAAUCACCGUCGGUGUCCAAGCUAACGCGAUAAGUCUGCCGCCUGAGGACUACGGCCGCAAGGCUAAAACUCAAAGGAAUUGACGGGUCCCCGCACAAGCAGCGGAGCGUGUGGUUUAAUUCGAUGCUCCGCGAAGAACCUUACCUGGGUUUGACAUAACAGUGGUAGAGAAGUGAAAACGGAUCGACCCUUCGGGGAGCUGUUACAGGUGUUGCAUGCCUGUCGUCAGCUCGUGUCGUGAGAUGUUCGGUUAAGUCCGCUAACGAGCGCAACCCGCGCUGUGUGUUACAAGUGUCACACAGUACCGCCGGUAUUAAGUCGGAGGAAGGUGCGGAUGACGUCAAGUCAGCAUGACCUUUAUAUCCAGGGCUACACACACGCUACAAUGGUCAGAACAAUAGGUUGCCAAGCCGCAAGGCGGAGCCAAUCCUCCAAAUCUGGCCUCAGUUCAGAUUGCAGGCUGCAACUCGCCUGCAUGAAGUCGGAGUUGCUAGUAACCGCAGGUCAGCAUACUGCGGUGA